rnacentral:tmRNA from 5 species
GGGGGUGACUGGCUUCGACAAAGAAAUCGGUGUGUGUUUGCGCGUUGCGAGAGUGAACGACUCUCUCAAACCGUUCAAACACUUCAAGUGCGAACAAAGUAGCACGUGCAGUACUCUCGCCUAUUCAAAUGGCAGACCUGCAGCCCGCUUACGCAUACGUUGCCUAAGCGCCGUCCAUCGAGCCGAUGCUUGAUCAAGCUCGACCGGGCGUAACACAUUCAAGCACUGAUGAACGGCGUCCACUGUUCAUCUAAGACUUCGGAAUCGGGGCAUUGCGUUUCUGUUCAUCUCAUAUGCAACGCUCUUAAACAAAAUCAGAUGUCCUACGCAAUGUAGACACACUCACACACUUUUCCUUGGACUCGGGAUCAUUCCCCGACACCUCCACUG